AAGUCGUAACAAGGUAACCGUAGGUGAACCUGCGGUUGGAUCAUUAGAAAUUAUCGGUGUGGUUCUCCUAGUGAGGCCGCUUUAAAAAACACCGUUAAACCUUUAUGUGAACUUGUAUCUGUUCUUGGUGGACGGGUCUGGGGGGACCCUUAAACGCUGUGGGAGACCGGGCGGGAUCCGCGUGAACCUAAAAGGUUAGCGCGUUUCCCGUUAUCCACGGGCCACCAAAUUGUGUUGAACCUUGAUAGUCUUUGUUUGUUUUGGUCUUUCUUUAACGUCUCCUUGAUUGGAGUGUUAAUACCAAAUUGAAAACAACUUUUGGCAACGGAUCUCUUGGCUCUC
rnacentral:misc_RNA from 1 species